rnacentral:rRNA from 1 species
UGGGGAAUUUUGGACAAUGGGGGGAAACCCUGAUCCAGCCAUCCCCGCGUGUGCGAUGAAGGCCUUCGGGUUGUAAAGCACUUUUGGCAGGAAAGAAACGUCGCGGGUUAAUACCCCGCGAAACUGACGGUACCUGCAGAAUAAGCACCGGCUAACUACGUGCCAGCAGCCGCGGUAAUACGUAGGGUGCAAGCGUUAAUCGGAAUUACUGGGCGUAAAGCGUGCGCAGGCGGUUCGGAAAGAAAGAUGUGAAAUCCCAGAGCCUUAACUUUGGAACUGCAUUUUUAACUACCGGGCUAGAGUGUGUCAGAGGGAGGUGGAAGUUCCGCGUGUAGCAGUGAAAUGCGUAGAUAUGCGGAGGAACACCGAUGGCGAAGGCAGCCUCCUGGGAUAACACUGACGCUCAUGCACGAAAGCGUGGGGAGCAAACAGGAUUAGAUACCCUGGUAGUCCACGCCCUAAAACGAUGUCAACUAGCUGUUGGGGCCUUCGGGCCUUGGUAGCGCAGCUAACGCGUGAAGUUGACCGCCUGGGGAGUACGGUCGCAAGAUUAAAAACUUAAAGG